rnacentral:sRNA from 11 species
UGAUUGGGACAAUAUUUGGGGCACUUCGCCGGUCCCGACUUCCAGAAUUUCCGUGUGGUCUGUGAAUUUAUCACCGCUACACUGUCA